rnacentral:rRNA from 1 species
UAACAAGGAUUCCCCUAGUAACGGCGAGCGAAGCGGGAAGAGCUCAAAUUUGAAAGCUGGCACCUUCGGUGUCCGCGUUGUAAUCUCGAGACGUGUUUUCCGUGUGGCGCUAUGGACAAGUCCCUUGGAACAGGGCAUCGUAGAGGGUGAAAAUCCCGUACUUGCCAUGGAUGUACCAUGCUUUGUGAUACACGCUCUAAGAGUCGAGUUGUUUGGGAUUGCAGCUCAAAAUGGGUGGUAGACUCCAUCUAAAGCUAAAUAUCGGGGAGAGACCGAUAGCGAACAAGUACCGUGAGGGAAAGAUGAAAAGCACUUUGGAAAGAGAGUUAAAAGUACGUGAAAUUGUCGAAAGGGAAGCGCUUGAAGUCAGCCAUGCUGCUUGAGACUCAGCCUUGCUUUUGCUUGGUGUAUUUCUCGGUAGCAAGCCAGCAUUGGUUUGAGUCGUCGGAGAAGGGUAUGAGAAAUGUGGCAUCCUCGGAUGUGUUAUAGGCUUGUACUGGAUACGACGAUUUGGAUCAAGGAACGCAGUGUGCCUCUGGCGGGUCUUCGGACACCUUCACACUUAGGAUGUGGGCGUA